UGCAGUCGAGCGACUGAUUAGAAGCUUGCUUCUAUGACGUUAGCGGCGGACGGGUGAGUAACACGUGGGCAACCUGCCUGUAAGACUGGGAUAACUUCGGGAAACCGAACCUAAUACCGGAUAGGAUCUUCUCCUUCAUGGGAGAUGAUUGAAAGAUGGUUUCGGCUAUCACUUACAGAUGGGCCCGCGGUGCAUUAGCUAGUUGGUGAGGUAACGGCUCACCAAGGCAACGAUGCAUACCCGACCUGAGAGGGUGAUCGGCCACACUGGGACUGACACACGGCCCAGACUCCUACGGGAGGCAGCAGUAGGGAAUCUUCCGCAAUGGACGAAAGUCUGACGGAGCAACGCCGCGUGAGUGAUGAAGGCUUUCGGGUCAUAAAACUCUGUUGUUAGGGAAGAACAAGUACAAGAGUAACUGCUUGUACCUUGACGGUACCUAACCAGAAAGCCACGGCUAACUACGUGCCAGCAGCCGCGGUAAUACGUAGGUGGCAAGCGUUAUCCGGAAUUAUUGGGCGUAAAGCGCGCGCAGGCGGUUUCUUAAGUCUGAUGUGAAAGCCCACGGCUCAACCGUGGAGGGUCAUUGGAAACUGGGGAACUUGAGUGCAGAAGAGAAAAGCGGAAUUCCACGUGUAGCGGUGAAAUGCGUAGAGAUGUGGAGGAACACCAGUGGCGAAGGCGGCUUUUU
rnacentral:rRNA from 2 species